rnacentral:pre_miRNA from 1 species
GUAAACAAACUAGUACGAAGCGUAGACAGCCGCUAGCUUCGGUUGUGGUUUUAUUUCAACAGAUUUUACAAAAAAUCGUUGCGUUUAUCAUGAAUUAAACGUUUUUACACAAAAUUUGUCGAAAUAAAAACAUUACCGAAGCUAGCGGCUGUCUACGCUUCGUACUAGUUU